CAGGUACAGCAAUGUGCUAACGGAGGACUAGUCAGACCACAGGUCCAAAGGAUUCUUUGUGCACAAACAGGAGAGAUUUAAAAAAGCAAAGGCGCAGCUCAGUUCUGGAUUCGUGCUGGUGGGCGCCGCAGACAGACGGACACUCAGGAAUGCAACAGAUGUGCUGCGCGCCCUGAGUGCGGCGCGAGGGCUUCUGAGUGGCACCUCGCAGAGCAGAGCAGACACGACUGCGAUUGCACGCUGUGCACCAGCUGCAGGCUCCCUUCUCACCCCUCAGAAGGGAGCGACGAAGCCAUCGCACGGAUCCUACUGCCAGCACCAAGCGCAGCCAAUAUCCAGCCCUCAGCCAUCAGCAGAGCUGAAGUGGGACCAGGCAGCACAGGAGCCCGUGCGUAUCGCACACCAAAUGCACCGAGAGCCGCGCACCGGGCAUCUCAGCCGAGCUCUCCUGCGUGCACGCGGUGGCUGCUUCCCUCCGUAACCCCAUUUUUCAGUUUGCAACUAGGAGGGCUGCGGUGGAGCACCAAACAGAGCUAAAAAGCAAACCAGUGCACGUGUUCCUUUUUAAGGCCAGAUUAGGGGAAAAAAAAAAAAAAAGGAAAGAAAAAAAAAAGGUUCUUUUCUCAUAAUGCAAGACAUGAUAUUUUUCAAAAUUGUCUUCUUUAAAACAGAAAUUUCUCUGUAAAUUCAGCGAUGUAAGAAAUUUGCAAAAAAUCCCUUAAAACGCCUUCAAGAAAAACGCGGCAUUCAGUUCCGUCUCAUUAAUGUAGCACAGAAAAAAAAAUUUUUUUGUUGUGCACCGAAUAUAAUUUCAGUAUUUAAAACACCACCGCCCGCGAGCUGCCAGCGCGGAGCUGCUCUGCACGCGCGGCCGCAUCCGUCACUUCGGCACUGCCCGUCCCUCCCGACCACUUCCCGUGCGGCGCUGCCGGCGCUGUGCGCGGCGGAUCCGGGGCCGGGCCGGGCGCUGCCGGGGGCCGCUGCGCGCCGAGGACACUGAACAGAGCAGGCUUCAUCCUGUGGCAGUUCAGCGCGUGUUUCCUGCAAGAGAGCACACACAGCGUUAGCGCCCGCCGCGAACAUGGCGCCCGCCGCGCCGCGCCGCCAGGCCGCCCGCAGAGCCCGGCAUCGGCGUCGGCCCCGAAAUCGGCCCCGAAAUCGGCCCCGGCCCGCGCCGGGAGCGGCCCGAGCGGGGCCGGCGCUCCGUGCGGCACCGCGGCGGCGCCUCUCAGCGCCGGGCCGGGCCGGGCCCCGGGGCCCGCGGCGUAAAUCAGCGCCGUCCGGGACUGAUUUAUUGCGGAGCGGCCCGGCCCGGGCCGCGCUUUGUUUUGUACGGCGGUGAUUUAGGACGGCCGCGGCUCUCCCCCCGCGGCGGUGUCUGCUCGGCGCCGCCAUCCAUCUCCCGCCGCGCCGGGCACGGGGGAGCGGCGCGGAAAGUUGCGGCCCGGCCCGGGGCGCGCGGACGCCCGGACAGACGGACGCGGGGCCGCGCGGGACGGGGCCGGCUCGAGCACCGCCCGCUCCCGCAUUUAUUGCGUGGCAAAAGGCAUUAAAUAGCGCUUCGGCCGCGCCCCGGCCGCCUGCGGGCUCCUCCGGCGCCAGAAGUUCUCUCCCGGCCGCGCUCCGCGGGCCGGAGCAGCGCGCCCCACGCGCACCGACAGACAAGGCGAAACGAGACGACACCAACUUUGCUUGCGCCUCGUCCAGGCUUUGGUCGGUGAUGGUCAUGAUCUGGUGCAGGAUGUCCCCGAUGUCCUGCUUCCUGCCGUCGCCGUCGGCCCCGUCGUGUCCGUGGGGAGGCGGCAGGGCCAUGCCCCCCUGCACGGAGUGCCCCGCCAGGUUGACGCCCGCCAGGGUCUGCAGCAUGCGGGACUGCUCGUCCAUGGCCCCGCGCCGCAGGGGCACCGCGCGCCCGGGCUCGGCCCCGCCGCUCGCUCCGCGCUCGCACGGCCAAAAAAAGGCAAAAACCAAAACGACGACGGCGGCCGAAGGAGCGGCGGCGAUGCCGGGAGCGGCGGCGGCGGCGGCGGAUUCCACGCUCUUCUCUCCGGCGCGGUAAAUCACUCUUCUUUAGUUACAGUCUUCUCCCGUCAGCACCAUGCCUGUGCCGGGCCGGGCUGCGCCGCUCUGCCGCUGCCUCUCCCCGGAACGAUCUUCCUCCAAAGCUUUUUAUUAUUAUUAGUAUUAUCCUUUUCUAUUAUUAUUUUUAUUGUUGCUUUCUAUAUCUUUCCCCACUUGUCCAAAAAUCUUCUUUGCGAAAAGGCGAAAAAGAAAAAAAAAAAAAAAAGAAAAAAAGUAAAAAAAAAAAAUACAAAAUCACCAAAGUUGCUUUCGGAUCCCGCAGAAGUUGGCAGGGUGGCAAAGAGCAAAAACCACAACAACGAACCGAGCGGCCCCCACCCCGGAUCGCGACAUAAAAACGCCACGAAAACACAAUCGCAGAGGGAAAAAAUUAAUGGCCCUCCCCCCAAAAAUAACGACCCGUCCCGAGUCUGUGCGCGGGGGGACGGCGGCGAUCAGAAGUUUGAACUCGCGCAAAGAAAAGAGCGGAAAUCGAGGGGAAAGAACUGUAAAAAAAUUAAUUACACACUCUGUGCAAAGCAACGUGCAAAAAUAUCAGCCGGCGGGGAUUUAUGAGCGCGGCCGCCCGGUGACUGUGUGUGCUUUAUGUUGUUUGAUGGCCGCUCCGGUGAGGGAUUGACAGCCUGCCAAUGCCACUCACUCACCCUGCAGACGUGUCACCCUGUGAGCAGGCAGCGGCCGCGGCACAGGACGAGCCGCCGCGCCCCGCCCCGCUCCGCACCGCCCCUCCCGCCCGCCCCGCCCCGCCGGGCGCGCCCGCCGCCGCCCCGCCCCGGCC
rnacentral:lncRNA from 1 species